UACGUAGGUGGCAAGCGUUGUCCGGAUUUACUGGAUGUAAAGGGCGUGUAGCCGGGCUGACAAGUCAGAUGUGAAAUCCGGGGGCUCAACCCCCGAACUGCAUUUGAAACUGUUGGUCUUGAGUAUCGGAGAGGCAGGCGGAAUUCCUAGUGUAGCGGUGAAAUGCGUAGAUAUUAGGAGGAACACCAGUGGCGAAGGCGGCCUGCUGGACGACAACUGACGGUGAGGCGCGAAAGCGUGGGGAGCAAACAGG
rnacentral:rRNA from 1 species